GGGUGCAAGCGUUAUUCGGAAUUAUUGGGCGUAAAGGGCGCGUAGGCGGUUUUGUMAGUCAGAUGUGAAAGCCCCGGGCUCAACCCUGGAAGUGCAUUUSAAACAGCCAGACUUGAGUAUGGGAGAGGAAAGUGGAAUUCCUGGUGUAGAGGUGAAAUUCGUAGAUAUCAGGAGGAACACCGAUGGCGAAGGCAGCUUUCUGGACCAAUACUGACGCUSAGGCGCGAAAGCGUGGGUAGCGAACAGGAUUAGAUACCCUGGUAGUCCACGCAGUAAACGAUGUUCACUAGGUGUAUCGGAUAUUAACACCUUCAGUGCCCAAGCUAACGCRUUAAGUGAUCCGCCUGGG
rnacentral:rRNA from 1 species